AUUGAACGCUGGCGGCAGGCCUAACACAUGCAAGUCGAGCGGGACCUUCGGGUCUAGCGGCGGACGGGUUAGUAACGCGUGGGAACGUGCCCAAAGGUACGGAAUAGCCUCGGGAAACUGAGAGUAAUACCGUAUGUGCCCCUCGGGGGAAAGAUUUAUCGCCUUUGGAUCGCCCCGCGUUGGAUUAGGUAGUUGGUGGGGUAAUGGCCUACCAAGCCGACGAUCCAUAGCUGGUUUGAGAGGAUGAUCAGCAACACUGGGACUGAGACACGGCCCAGACUCCUACGGGAGGCAGCAGUGGGGAAUCUUAGACAAUGGGGGAAACCCUGAUCUAGCCAUGCCGCGUGAGCGAUGAAGGCCUUAGGGUUGUAAAGCUCUUUCAGAUGGGAAGAUAAUGACGGUACCAUCAGAAGAAGCCCCCGGCUAACUCCGUGCCAGCAGCCGCGGUAAU
rnacentral:rRNA from 1 species